UGAGUACGAGAUGCUACGGCAUCGAAGCAGUCUAUGUCAUACUUCCAAGAAAAGCUUGCACUGUCAUAAACAAAGAAUGCCUGUACCAUAACCGACACAGGUGGGUAGGUAGAGUAUACUAAGGAGCGCGAGAUAACUCUCUCUAAGGAACUCGGCAAAAUGACUCCGUAACUUCGGGAGAAGGAGUGCCUUAUUUCUAAGGUUGCAAUAACAAGAUCCAAGCAACUGUUUACCAAAAACACAGGUCUCCGCUAAGUCGUAAGACGAUGUAUGGGGGCUGACGCCUGCCCAGUGCCAGAAGGUUAAAGAAGUUGGUUAGCAUUAGCGAAGCUGAUAACUGAAGCCCUGGUGAACGGCGGCCGUAACUAUAACGGUCCUAAGGUAGCGAAAUUCCUUGUCGGGUAAGUUCCGACCCGCACGAAAGGCGUAAUGAUUUGGAUACUGUCUCGGAGAGGGGCUCGGUGAAAUAGACUUGUCUGUGAAGAUGCGGACUACCUGCACCUGGACAGAAAGACCCUAUGAAGCUUUACUGUAACUUGAGAUUGAAAUUGGACUUUAUUUGCGCAGUAUAGGUGGGAGGCGUUGAGAAUAAUCUUGCGGGAUUGUUGGAGCCAUCAGUGAGAUACCACUCUUGUAAUGUUAGAUUUCUAACUUUGUAUCAUUAUCUGGUCAAAGAACAGUUUCAGGCGGGCAGUUUGACUGGGGCGGUCGCCUCCCAAAGGGUAACGGAGGCGCACAAAGGUUUCCUCUGAACGGGUAGAAAUCGUAUCUAGAGUGUAAAGGCAUAAGGAAGCUUGACUGUGAGACCUACAAGUCGAGCAGGGACGAAAGUCGGUCUUAGUGAUCUGACGGUGCUGAGUGGAAAGGCCGUCACUCAACGGAUAAAAGUUACUCUAAGGAUAACAGGCUGAUCUCCCCCAAGAGUUCACAUCGACGGGGAGGUUUGGCACCUCGAUGUCGGCUCAUCGCAUCCUGGGGCGGUAGUCCGUCCCAAGGGUUGGGCUGUUCGCCCAUGAAAGCGGUACGCGAGCUGGGUUCAGAACGUUGUGAGACAGUUCGGUCCAUAUCCGGUGUAGGCGUUAGAAUAUUGAGAGGAGCCUUCUCUAGUACGAGAGGACCGAGAAGGACAUACCUCUGGUGUACCAGUUAUCGUGCCAACGGUAAACGCUGGGUAGCUAUGUAUGGAGUGGAUAACCGCUGAAAGCAUCUAAGUGGGAAGCCCACCUCAAGAUAAGUAUUCUCA
rnacentral:rRNA from 1 species